GUGAGCGGCAAGAGCUCAGAUUUGAAAUCGUGCUUUGCGGCACGAGUUGUAAUUGCAGGUUGGAGUCUGUGUGGAAGGCGGUGUCCAAGUCCCUUGGAACAGGGCGCCCAGGAGGGUGAGAGCCCCGUGGGAUGCCGGCGGAAGCAGUGAGGCCCUUCUGACGAGUCGAGUUGUUUGGGAAUGCAGCUCCAAGCGGGUGGUAAAUUCCAUCUAAGGCUAAAUACUGGCGAGAGACCGAUAGCGAACAAGUACUGUGAAGGAAAGAUGAAAAGCACUUUGAAAAGAGAGUGAAACAGCACGUGAAAUUGUUGAAAGGGAAGGGUAUUGCGCCCGACAUGGGGAUUGCGCACCGCUGCCUCUCGUGGGCGGCGCUCUGGGCUUUCCCUGGGCCAGCAUCGGUUCUUGCUGCAGGAGAAGGGGUUCUGGAACGUGGCUCUUCGGAGGGGUGGGGGGCGGGGCCAGAUGCUGCGUGCGGGGACCGAGGACUGCGGCCGUGUAGGUCACGGGAUGCUGGCAGAACGGCGCAACACCGCCCGUCUUGAAACACAG
rnacentral:rRNA from 1 species